GGUGAUCUGGGGCUGGGCGUGGGAUGGGAAGCUGCCGGUGAGGGCUCUGCACCCACCAAAUUUUCCCCGUGGGAGCUCUAACCCCGGCGCAACCAUGGAGUCAGCGCCUAAGGCACCACUUUUGAUGUGAUCAGUGGGGGAAGCAGCCGCUCCUCCUGCUCCUCCCAUAGCUAUGCUGCCCCGCCCCUAUGAGCCAGAGGGACCUACUGGAUGCUUCCCAGGAGCGCCCCAGGUCGAGUGUAUCACGCAGCCAAUCACCCCACGUGAAAGGCACACGGCUCCCUUGCAUCGCAUGCCCUCACCUUCCAUACUUGGCUGCUGUGGAUUCAGACCACUGGCUGGAAGCGGAGAUGUCCUCGUCCGGGAUGUGGCCACCUGACAUGCCCAGAGGAUAACGGCACACAGCUGAAAUGAGACACACCAUUGGCUGCUCCUUUGGUUUGCUCCAGUGAGUGUGGAGGAUGCUCAGUGCCUCUGAGAAACUCAGAACUGGUCCUCAGGAGAAGGUCAGGCAUGGUGCAGGUAGCUCUGGACAAGCUCCCCCCACUGCAUGCCAGCCCUGCUCCACUACACUACAUGCUAGCUCAGUCCUGGGACCUCCCCAAAGCUAUGCCAGUGCACCACAGAUACCUCAGUGAUAGGGUUGUAUAAGAAACAGGCCCAUCCGCAGAUCUCUAGUAGCACCUCCUGCUCUUCUAGGCUUUGGCUUCGCACCCCACACAAAUAUGGGUAUCUGGUAUAGACCCAAAGACCCCCCUGCUAUGCAAACCUUGGGACCUCCACACAGCUUGGCUGAUGUAGCCACUCUUGAUACAUCCCGGCAGCCCCUUCUCCUACCUGUGCCCUCCACAUAGCUCCAGAUACACUUCUGUCCCAGCCCGCAGCACCACCUGCUACUCUAGUGCCUGGCCCCUACCCCCACUGUAACAUCUCUGCAAAUGUACCUGCUGCAGCCCCUCCUGGGCUCACACACAGAUCUGCCAAUGCCCUUCACACAAAAUCUGCUAUCCCAGACCCAGAUCCCAUCAACACAGCUUGAUCACUUCACCUCAGCAGGUCACGCCUGUGCACCUUCCAUGCUGCCAUCCUGCAUGACGGAAAGUGACUCUUCUCAGCAGGGUGGGGCAGGGAGGUAAUUGACUUGUAGUUGGCAACAGGGGUGUCUCUGGUAUCAAGGAGGAGUCCCCAGCCUGGCAAGAGUCCCCAGUAGCAGCCAGCAUCACACAGAGACUGCUUGCAAUCUUGCGUCCUGAGCUCCUCUGGGCCAAAGAACUUACCAUGCCCUAACGGAGAGGUUCAUGCUCACUCUAGCCUUGCUCACUGAACAGGGAUGGUGACUGAUGCCCAAGCCCUGUGGAAAUCAGAGGGGGUGGGCACAUGUGUUCCUAUUGGGGUGUGUGGAUUCUAUUGAAAGAGUCCUAGAUACCAUUUGACUCUACCACUCCAGUGUUUAAGGACACAGCUGGUCAGGCUCAUUUGAGUGUCCUGGCUUCUUCCUCACAUGGGCCCUGAUUCCAAGAGUUGCCCUGGGUUGACUCAGUCCUCCACCACCUGGCCUCCAUGGGACCGGCAGGGGCCCAGCCACACAGGGCUGCCUAGAGGAUGAGAGCCAGAGACUGCUGUUCUCAGGGGAGGCAGAGCUCCCUCUCUGUGGAGAGUCAGUCCACACAGUGCUCUGAGGAGGCAUGUGGGGGCAGCUGCAGCCUCUCACUCAGCACCGUGGAAGGACAUCUCAGCAACAGGCCAAAACGGGAUGUGCCAGAGCUGUGCAUGUGGCUCUCGGCUCCAGCUGCUAAUGGAGGCUCCUCCUUUUGCUCACCAGACAGAGGUGGCAGGUGUGAACUGCCACCAGGAGCUACAUUUCCAAUGAUGCAUGUGGAUGGAUGGUUCAUACCUGGGCAGCUUUGACAGCUACCAGUGCCCAUGGCAGCCCAUGCAGAAGGCUUCAUGGGGUUAGCCCCUCUCAGGGAGCCAGCCUAGGACUGUCAGGGCAUACUACCUGCAACCACCAGCCCAUAUAACACAAUACCAUGCUUAGCAGGGUGCAUUAUUAACAGCAGGAAUUGAACUUGGGCCCUACAGAUCUUAAACCAGGAGCCUCUAGUGUCUGAGCUAAAUGACCCAGCUCUGUUUGCUAAGGCUGUAGCAGACUCAUUAAACUCCACUAGUAGAGGGGGCCAGAGCCCCACAGAGCAUGGUAUGGGUUACAAUAGUUCACGAGAACACAGUACUGUGUGCUUUAAGUGAGAAGGGACUUGGUCAGCAUUCAAACCCAGCUGCUCACCCAUAGUGGGGAUGGGCCUUCUGGUUCCAUGGGCUAACGUACCUGUUGCAGAUGACUGAUACGGGACUCUAGCAAUAAAGAGCUAAAGGCUGGAAAUAUAAUGGAUGCCACCAGACAUGGUUUCAUGGAAAAUAGGUUGUGUCAGAUAAACGUGAUAUUGUUCCUGGAGCAAAUUACAUAUCUGGCUGAUAAAGGUAACUAUGAUGACAUAAUAAACUUAGAUUCUGUAAUGGA